AUACGUAGGGGGCAAGCGUUGUCCGGAAUGACUGGGCGUAAAGGGCGUGUAGGCGGCCGAUUAAGUCUGGAGUGAAAGUCCUGCUUUUAAGGUGGGAAUUGCUUUGGAGACUGGUUGGCUUGAGUGCGGAAGAGGCAAGUGGAAUUCCCAGUGUAGCGGUGAAAUGCGUAGAGAUUGGGAGGAACACCAGUGGCGAAGGCGACUUGCUGGGCCGUAACUGACGCUGAGGCGCGAAAGCGUGGGGAGC
rnacentral:rRNA from 1 species